rnacentral:rRNA from 1 species
UACGUAGGGGGCAAGCGUUGUCCGGAUUUAUUGGGCGUAAAGAGCGUGUAGGCGGUUAGGUAGGUCCGUUGUGAAAAACUCGAGGCUCAACCUCGAGACGCCGAUGGAAACCAUCUGACUAGAGUCCGGAAGAGGAGAGUGGAAUUCCUGGUGUAGCGGUGAAAUGACGCAGAUAUCAGGAAGAACACCCUGGCUAAGGCGGCUCUCUGGGACGUGACUGACGCUGAGACGCGAAAGCGUGGGGAGCGAACAGG